GGUCCUCUAGUGUAAUGGUAGCAUUCCUGAUUCUAAAUCAAGAGGUUGUGGAUUCAACUCCCACUAGGGCCC